rnacentral:rRNA from 1 species
CGUGUGGUCUUAUUUCGUUGGUUUCUAGGACCGCCGUAAUGAUUAAUGGGGACAGUCGGGGGCAUCAGUAUUCAAUCGUCAGAGGUGAAAUUCUUGGAUCGAUUGAAGACUAACUACUGCGAAAGCAUUUGCCAAGGAUGUUUUCAUUUAUCAGGAACGAAAGUUAGGGGAUCGAAGACGAUCAGAUACCGUCGUAGUCUUAACCAUAAACUAUGCCGACUAGGGAUCGGACGGUGUUAUUUCUUGACCCGUUCGGCACCUUACGAGAAAUCAAAGUGCUUGGGCUCCAGGGGGAGUAUGGUCGCAAGGCUGAAACUUAAAGAAAUUAACGGAAGGGCACCACCAGGGGUGGAGCCUGCGGCUUAAUUUGACUCAACACGGGGAAACUCACCAGGUCCAGACACAACGAGGAUUGACAGAUUGAGAGCUCUUUCUUGAUUUUGUGGGUGGUGGUGCAUGGCCGUUCUUAGUUGGUGGAGUGAUUUGUCUGCUUAAUUGCGAUAACGAACGAGACCUUAACCUGCUAAAUAGUCCGUAUUACCCCGGUAGUACGCCGACUUCUUAGAGGGACUAUCGGCUCAAGCCGAUGGAAGUUUGAGGCAAUAACAGGUCUGUGAUGCCCUUAGAUGUUCUGGGCCGCACGCGCGUUACACUGACGGGGCCAGCGAGUCUUUCCUUGACCGAAAGGUCCGGGUAAUCUUGUGAAACCCCGUCGUGC